GGGGAUGUAGCUCAGUGGUAGAGCGCGCG
rnacentral:piRNA from 6 species